AUGCUCUCUUUGGCAGCACAUAUACUAAAAUUGGAACAAUACAGAGAUUAGCACAGCCCCUGCGCAAAGAUGACACACAAAUUCCUGAAGUGUUCCAUAUUUGU
ensembl:snRNA U6 U6 spliceosomal RNA